CUUUAUGGCAGUUGUACGUGGGAGAUCUUCGGAUCUGCCGGGGAUUCUUGGGUACACCGGUUCGCCAACCCGCGUACAGCGGCCACCUGU
rnacentral:antisense_RNA from 1 species